AAUUAGUGUUUUCAUUCCAUGUUAGUAAUUUUCUCUUAUUCUCAUCCCAGGGGAGAUGGAAAAUUGCUGUUGACUAUUUUUGAUACAAACUUCCAUAUGCCUUGCAACACACUAGGUGCCAGAAACCUCCUGGCAUUCAUUUGGAAUUUCCCGCACACCCAGAACUUAUAUUUAUAAUAUUUAAUCUGACAUCAAAAUAAAACAUUUUUUUUCAUUUGAGUUCCUAAUGGUCUGGUCAGAAAGUUCAGCUGCAUUGCGUCCUAUGGUCUAUGUCAGAGGCUCAGUGUGAGAAAGAAAGGCCAGCUCAGGAAGGCUCAGAGGCUGGAACCUGGACCCUGGAGUCCUCAACCACGGGAGGUGUCAAAAAUGAAUUUGAUAAGGCACUGGGAAUGCAUUGUAAAUUUUUGAAGACUUUCCUAAGAAAAAUCUCACUGUAGUCUAAGAAGCCCUGUUCAAAAGUUUUUAGUCUCCACAGUAUCCUUACAGCGAAUUCUCACCAGUCUGCUCUUCUAGUGACACUUGUUGAGGUAUGUUCUCGUAUAGAGACAUGCUACACAAGUGCACACAAGAACUAACAUCCACACUCUGAAACACAGAAGAUCUAAAAUUAAAAGGAGAUGCUAAGAGUUUAAAUGUCUUGCUAAUUUGGAUGGCUCUGAAUUUCCUUUUGGAUAUAAUUAUAGUGAAAAGGUGGAAACUUUGAAAGUUUGGGGGACAUAGCCCCUUGGCAAAUACCCUCAGAUUAUCUCAUCUAGUCUGCGAGACAAAGUCUCUACCUUUCUCUUAUCAUUUACCUUCUGUGUAGGGUUUCUCAAAUCCAACUUGUUUAUGUUGUGACAUUUAAUUUAGUUUAAUUAGAAAUACACCUUAAAGUUCAAAGAACUUCAUUUAAGUUGUUCUCCCCAUUACAAGCCACUGUGUAUUGAAAGUAAAGAAUAUGAAAUGGACAAAGACUAUGAAACAGACACAGUCUGAGGGAGCUAACCAUCAAAAGUGCCUUGUGACCAUGAUCUGCUGGCAUACCAACCCGAUGACGAGGCCACUGUCAAUCAGUUUCUUUAGGACUGAUAGAGGCCAAUUUAGAAAAUU
rnacentral:lncRNA from 1 species